GAUGAACGCUGGCGGCGUGCCUAAUACAUGCAAGUCGAGCGAACGGACGAGAAGCUUGCUUCUCUGAUGUUAGCGGCGGACGGGUGAGUAACACGUGGAUAACCUACCUAUAAGACUGGGAUAACUUCGGAAAACCGGAGCUAAGACCGGAUAAUAUUUUGAACCGCAUGGUUCAAAAGUGAAAGACGGUCUUGCUGUCACUUAUAGAUGGAUCCGCGCUGCAUUAGCUAGUUGGUAAGGUAACGGCUUACCAAGGCAACGAUGCAUAGCCGACCUGAGAGGGUGAACGGCCACCCUCAAUCGGAGACACGGUCCGGCCUCCUACGGGCGGCAGGCGUCGGGAAUCUUCCGUAAUGGGCGAACGCCUGACGGAGCAACGCCGCUUGAGUGAUGAAGGUCUUCGGUUCGUAAAGCACUGUUAUUAGGGAAGAACAUAUGUGUAGGUACCUGUGACCAUCUUGACGGUACCUAAUCAGAAAGCCACGGCUAACUACUU
rnacentral:rRNA from 1 species